rnacentral:rRNA from 1 species
AUGAAGAUGUCCGAUUUAUUUAGUGGGAUUCAAGCAGCUAUGGUUAUCAAUCGAGUAGAGAACAGCGAGCAGUCACCUGAAGAUUGGAAUAGCGACUGUGAUGGAUCCGGUGGUUCAUCAGGUUUGCCAGGCACGCCGUGCUUUACGUCCAGGCUAUCUUUGCUCAAAGUUGGUUCGGUCAUAGGCCAGUUUAGUGAUUUUAAGCGACAGUUAAUCAAGGAAACCGGAUUCGAUGGAAUGCUAGAGCUCAAAUCAUGGCAGAAGAUCAGCCUUAAGUACAACGCUUACCUAAUGGAUAGGGUUGAUGUAGAUUCCAGCAUAAUAAAUUUAGAGGGCCAAGGUGUGCUUGAAUUACGUGACCAACACUUUAAUUAUGUUUUUGGCAUCCCAUGUGGUAAUACAGUCAUAGAAGGUGAAGGCAUGGAGCCGUCAGAAGCAUGUAUUGAGUACACGCGUGUGGCUGCAUCAUUUAGCGAAAGAGGCACGCACAGUCUUAAAGCGGCUGAGGCGUACUUAAAUCGAGCCAUCACAGAAUCGUCCACACAGAUAGAGAAGGACUGUUUCAAGAUUGCAUUUGUUAUUUUUGUAGUCGGUCAUGUACUUGCUCCUACUGCUAAGCACGAUUAUAUAUCGAUAGACUUUUGGGCUGCACUGAAUGAUAUCAGCAAGAUAAAGGAUUGGAAUUGGGGAGGAUAUGUACUGAAGCAUCUGUUCCAAGCUGUGAGGAAGGUCAAAGCAGAUGUGUCCAAGAGAAACCCAACUGUCCACAUAGUUGGCUGUCAUCUGUUCCUGCAGGCGUUCUAA